AUUGAACGCUGGCGGCAGGCCUAACACAUGCAAGUCGAGCGGAGCGGCGGAUGGGUGAGUAAUGCCUAGGAAUCUGCCCGGUAGUGGGGGAUAACGUCCGGAAACGGGCGCUUAUACCGCAUACUAUCAGAUGAGCCUAGGUCGGAUUAGCUAGUUGGUGGAGUAAAGGCCUACCAAGGCGACGAUCCGUAACUGGUCUGAGAGGAUGAUCAGUCACACUGGAACUGAGACACGGUCCAGACUCCUACGGGAGGCAGCAGUAGGGAAUAUUGGGCAAUGGACGAAAGCCUGAUCCAGCCAUGCCGCGUGUGUGAAGAAGGUCUUCGGAUUGUAAAGCACUUUAAGUAGGGAAGCGGUACCAACAGAAUAAGCACCGGCUAACUACGUGCCAGCAGCCGCGGUAAUAC
rnacentral:rRNA from 1 species